GAUGAACGCUGGCGGCGUGCCUAAUACAUGCAAGUCGAGCGAACGGACGAGAAGCUUGCUUCUCUGAUGUUAGCGGCGGACGGGUGAGUAACACGUGGAUAACCUACCUAUAAGACUGGGAUAACUUCGGGAAACCGGAGCUAAUACCGGAUAAUAUUUUGAACCGCAUGGUUCAAAAGUGAAAGACGGUCUUGCUGUCACUUAUAGAUGGAUCCGCGCUGCAUUAGCUAGUUGGUAAGGUAACGGCUUACCAAGGCAACGAUGCAUAGCCGACCUGAGAGGGUGGACCGCCACCCUGGAACUUAGGCCCCGCUCCAACCCCCUCGGGGGGGCACCGGUGGGAAUCCUCCCGAAUGGGGCAAAAGCCUACCGGGGCACCCCCGCGGAGGUAUUAAGGUCCUUCGGUUCUUAAACCCUUGUAAUAAGGGAAGAACAAAUGUGUAGGUAACUGGGCCCUUCUGGCCGGACCCUAUCAGAAAGCCACGGCUAACUACGUG
rnacentral:rRNA from 1 species